rnacentral:tRNA from 1 species
GUGUCAGUAGCUCAGUUGGAUAGAGCAACGGCCUUCUAAGCCGUGGGUCGGGGGUUCGAAUCCCUCCUGAUACG